rnacentral:rRNA from 1 species
UACAGAGGUCUCAAGCGUUGUUCGGAUUCAUUGGGCGUAAAGGGUGCGUAGGCGGCGCCGUAAGUCAGGUGUGAAAUUUCGGAGCUUAACUCCGAAACUGCAUUUGAUACUGCGGUGCUCGAGGACUGGAGAGGAGACUGGAAUUUACGGUGUAGCAGUGAAAUGCGUAGAGAUCGUAAGGAAGACCAGUGGCGAAGGCGGGUCUCUGGACAGUUCCUGACGCUGAGGCACGAAGGCCAGGGGAGCAAACGGG